ACCCAGAUGUACACCAGUGAUCUGGUGUGUGGCCUUCAAACCCGUAGCUGAUAACAAUCGGAGUGGUUCGAUUCCACCUUCUG